rnacentral:rRNA from 1 species
CCUACGGGAGGCAGCAGUGGGGAAUAUUGCACAAUGGGCGAAAGCCUGAUGCAGCAACGCCGCGUGAAGGAAGACGGUUUGCGGAGUGUAAAGUUCUGUUCUUAGUGAAGAAGAAUGACGGUAACUAAGGAGCAAGCCACGGCUAACUACGUGCCAGCAGCCGCGGUAAUUAGGAGGUGGCAAGCUUUGUCCGGAAUUACUGGGGGUAAAGGGAGCGUAGGCGGGAAGCCAAGUCAGCUGUGAAAACUACGGGCUUAACCUGUAGACUGCCGUUGAAACUGGCUUUCUUGAGUGAAGUAGAGGUUGGCGGAAUUCCGGGUGUAGCGGUGAAAUGCGUAGAUAUUCGGAGGAACACCGGUGGCGAAGGCGGCCGACUGGGCUUUAACUGACGCUGAGGCUCGAAAGUGUGGGGAGCAAACAGGAUUAGAUACCCUAGUAGUC